rnacentral:rRNA from 1 species
CCUACGGGUGGCAGCAGUGAGGAAUAUUGGUCAAUGGGAGGAAUCCUGAACCAGCCAUGCCGCGUGCAGGACGACGGCCCUACGAGUUGUAAACUGCUUUUGUACCGGGGUAAAAUGCCUUUCGUGUAGGGCUUUGAAAGUACGGUACGAAUAAGGAUCGGCUAACUCCGUGCCAGCAGCCGCGGUAAUACGGAGGGUCCGGGGGUUAUCCGGAUUCAUUGGGUUUAACGGGUGCGUAGGUUGUUUUAUAAGUUAGCGGUGAAAUACCGAUGCUCAACAUCGGGGCUGCCGCUAAUACUGUAGGACUAGAGAGCGGAUGCGGCAGGCGGAAUGUGUAGUGUAGCGGUGAAAUGCAUAGAUAUUACACAGAACACCGAUUGCGAAGGCAGCUUGCUGGGCCGGAUCUGACACUGAUGCACGAAAGCGUGGGGAUCGAACAGGAUUAGAUACCCUUGUAGUC